GAUGAACGCUGGCGGCGUGCCUAAUACAUGCAAGUCGAGCGAACGGACGAGAAGCUUGCUUCUCUGUUGUUAGCGGCGGACGGGUGAGUAACACGUGGAUAACCUACCUAUCAGACUGGGAUAACCUCGGGAAACCGGAGCUAAUACCGGAUAAUAUUUUGAACCGCAUGGUUCAAAAGUGAAAGACGGUCUUGCUGUCACUUAUAGAUGGAUCCGCGCUGCAUUAGCUAGUUGGUAAGGUAACGGCUUACCAAGGCAACGAUGCAUAGCCGACGUGAGAGGCUGAUCGGCGACAUGGGAACUGGGACACGGUCCAGACUACUACGGGAGGCAGCAGUAGGGUACGGUCCGCAGUAGGCGAGAGCCUGGCAGAGCAACGCCGAGUGAGAGAUGAAGAUGUUCGGAGCGUAAAACUCUGUUACGAGUGAAGAACAGAUGUGUAAGUAACUGUGCACAUCGUGACGGUACCUAAUCAGAAAGCCACGGCUAACUACGUG
rnacentral:rRNA from 1 species